rnacentral:rRNA from 1 species
AUUGAACGCUGGCGGCGUGCCUAACACAUGCAAGUCGAGCGGUAACAGGUGUAGCAAUACAUGCUGACGAGCGGCGAACGGGUGAGUAAUGCUUCGGAAUCUGCCCAUGUAGUGGGGAAUAACCAGCCGAAAGGUUGGCUAAUACCGCAUACGACCCUUGCCCACAAGGCAAGGGUGAAAGCAGGGGAUCGCAAGACCUUGCGCUAUUGGAUGAGCCGAAGUCGGAUUAGCUAGUUGGUAGGGUAACGGCCUACCAAGGCGACGAUCCGUAGCUGGUCUGAGAGGACGACCAGCCACACUGGGACUGAGACACGGCCCAGACUCCUACGGGAGGCAGCAGUGGGGAAUAUUGGACAAUGGGGCAACCCUGAUCCAGCGACGCCGCGUGUGUGAAGAAGGCCUGCGGGUUGUAAAGC